rnacentral:rRNA from 1 species
UAAGCGGAGGAAAAGAAACUAACUAAGAUUGCCUCAGUAACGGCGAGUGAAGCGGCAAAAGCCCAAAAUGGUAAUCUUCACCUUUCAGGUGACGAAUUGUAAUCUACAGGUGGGAUACUCAACUGGAAGUGAUGCAGAAGUACCCUAGAACGGGUCGCCAAAGAGGGUGACAGCCCCGUAUGUGGUAUCGCUUCCAAACGAGUACCUUUCGAAGAGUCGGGUUGUUUGGAAAUGCAGCCCUAAUUGGGAGAUACACUUCUUCUAAGGCUAAAUAUGUAUGGGAAACCGAUAGCGAACAAGUACUGUGAAGGAAAGAUGAAAAGAACUUUGAAAAGAGAGUCAAAAGACUUGAAAUCGUUGAGAAGGAAGCGGUAGAAAUUUAUUCUGCAGCUAGGAAUAAAGGNUGUCGCCUAAACAUUGUGGUACUGAGUACUUAAUCGGCUUAGUGCCACACCUGUGGAAGUGAUUGCUGGAUUCCUGGCAGUGAGGCAAAAUGGGGCUCCAUAUCCUCAAAAGCUUAGAUUACCUGGGGAGGUUCGCCUUCCAGUAGUUUUGUGCUGGUGGAUAUGAAGCCUGAGGGUGCUUUUGCGAUUUUGCUAAAAUGGUUUUUACCGACCCGUCUCGAAACACGGACCAAGGAGUCUAAC